CCCCAUCAGGUCCUGCUGUGUCCCUAUAGAUGAACCCAACAGGUAGCAUUGGCUGUGUCCCCAUAGGUGUCACCCAUGGGGCACCACCACAUUGUCACAUGUGCCACCCAUGGGGUACCACCGGUCGUGUGUCCCUAUAGCUGUCCCCCAUCAGGUAGCAGUGGUUGUGUCCCUAUAGGUGUCACCCAUGGGGCACCGUGAGCUGUGUCCCUAUAGGUGUCCCCCAUCAGGUAGCAGUGGUUGUGUCCCUAUAGGUGUCACCCAUGGGGCACCAUGAGCUGUGUCCCUAUAGAUGCCCCCAUCAGGUAGCACUGGUUGUGUCCCUAUAAGUGUCACCCAUGGGGCACCAUGAGCUGUGUCCCUAUAGGUGUCCCCCAUCAGGUAGCACUGGUUGUGUCCCUAUAAGUGUCACCCAUCAGGUAGCACCGGCUGUGUCCCUACAGACGUCCCCCAUCGGGUACCACCACCACCCCCAUCACACCGCCGUCAGUCCGCUCACCCCUCCGAAAGUCCCGUGGGACGUUCCCACCCUGCACCCAUGGGUGCUACGCUUGUGCCCCCGCCGC